GGGAGGGAAAGGGGAAAUUCCUUGGUGUAGGGGGGAAAAGCGUUGAAUAUUAGGGGGAACCCCAGUGGCGAGGGCGCUUUUUUGACUGUAACUGCGGCUGAGGCUCGAAAGCGUGGGGAGCGAACAGGAUUAGAUCCCCCGGUAGUCCACGCCGUAAACGAUGAAUGCUAGGGGUAGGAGGGAUCGACCCCUCCUGUGCCGGAGUUAACGCAAUAAGCAAUCCGCCUGGGGAGUACGGCCGCAAGGCUGAAACUCAAAGGAAUUGACGGGGACCCGCACAAGCAGCGGAGCAUGUGGUUUAAUUCGAAGCAACGCGAAGAACCUUACCAGGGCUUGACAUAUGGGUAAAAGAUCUAGAGAUAGAUCCCUCUCUUCGGAGAUAGCCAUACAGGUGGUGCAUGGUUGUCGUCAGCUCGUGUCGUGAGAUGUUGGGUUAAGUCCCGCAACGAGCGCAACCCUUGUCACUAGUUACCAGCACUUCGGGUGGGGACUCUAGUGAGACUGCCGGUGAUAAACCGGAGGAAGGUGGGGAUGACGUCAAAUCAUCAUGCCCUUUAUGUCCUGGGCUACACACGUGCUACAAUGGUCGGUACAGAGGGCAGCAAGACUGCGAAGUUAAGCGAAACUCAAAAAGCCGAUCCCAGUUCGGAUUGUAGGCUGCAACUCGCCUACAUGAAGUCGGAGUUGCUAGUAAUCGCAAAUCAGAAUGUUGCGGUGAAUGCGUUCCCGGGUCUUGUACACACCGCCCGUCA
rnacentral:rRNA from 1 species